GGGCUUUGUUGUGUUAUUACAACUGGUCUGAAAUGCAUGAGUGCACCCUGCUAUUGCAGCGUUUUCAGUGUGAUAAGCAUCUUCACUGGAUCAAGAUCCUUUGGGACACGUGUGCAUUGUGGGCUCUGUGCUGACAAACCGUCUUUGGACAAGCUUGACAAUUUGACCUCAGAUCGGGUGGGACUACCCGCUGAACUUAA
rnacentral:misc_RNA from 1 species